rnacentral:rRNA from 1 species
CGGGGGGAUAACCGGUGGAAACGCCGACUAAUAUCCCAUGGUUUCCGUUGGGGGCAUCCCCGGCGGAAUAAAGGCUUCGGCCGGUGACGGAUGGGCUCGCGUGACAUUAGGCAGUAGGCGGGGUAACGGCCCACCUAACCUACGAUGUCUAGGGGUUCUGAGAGGAAGGUCCCCCACACUGGAACUGAGACACGGUCCAGACUCCUACGGGAGGCAGCAGUGAGGAAUAUUGGUCAAUGGGCGGAAGCCUGAACCAGCCAUGCCGCGUGACGGAAGACGGCCCUAUGGGUCUUAAACGUCUUUGGUCCCGGAGCAAUAAGAGCCACGCGUGGCUCGAUGAGAGUACGGGAAGAACAAGCAUCGGCUAACUCCGUGCCAGCAGCCGCGGUAAUACGGGGGAUGCGAGCGUUAUCCGGAUUUAUUGGGUUUAAAGGGUGCGUAGGCGGGGUGGUAAGUCAGCCGUGAAAUGUCCACGCUCAACGUGGAACGUGCGUUUGAUACUGCCGUCCUGGAAUGCGGAUGCCGUGGGAGGAAUGUGUGGUGUAGCGG